GGCGUAGGGGGCGAGCGUUGUCCGGAUUUAUUGGGCGUAAAGCGUGCGUAGGCGGCUGCGCAAGUCGGUUGUGAAACCCCGGGGCUCAACCCCGGAACUGCAUCCGAUACUGCGUGGCUAGAGGUAGGUAGGGGAGAUCGGAAUUCCUGGUGUAGCGGUGAAAUGCGCAGAUAUCAGGAGGAACACCGGUGGCGAAGGCGGUUCUCUGGGCAUGAUCUGACGCUGAGGAGCGAAAGUGUGGGGAGCGAACAGG
rnacentral:rRNA from 1 species